AUUGAACGCUGGCGGCAGGCCUAACACAUGCAAGUCGAACGAGUGGCGGACGGGUGAGUAAUGUAUGGGGAACUGCCCGAUAGAGGGGGAUAACUACUGGAAAACGUGGCUAAUACCGCAUACUCUACGAUGAACCCAUCUGGGAUUAGCUAGUGGGUGGGGUAAAGGCUCACCGAGGCGACGAUCUCUAGCGGGUCGGAGAGGAUGACCAGCCACACGGUGACGUGGAAACGGCCCAGACUCCUACGGGAGGCAGCAGUGGGGAAUAUUGGACAAUGGGCGAAAGCCUGAUGCAGCCAGGCCGCGUGUAUGAAGAAGGCCUUAGGGUUGUAAAGUACUUUCAGCGGGGAGGCGUUACCCGAAGAAGAAGCACCGGCUAACUCCGUGCCAGCAGCCGCGGUAAUAC
rnacentral:rRNA from 1 species